CAGCACGAGUGCAGUGCAGUGCGAUCUAGGAUCUGGUAGUGCAAUUGGAGACAAGGGAAAGAGAAUCCUUGGCUUCACAUCCUUGAUGACUACACCCAGUAUACUUGAAGAAGAAGAAGAGAUGCCUCGAGUAGAUGUUGUUUAUGAAAAUAUUCAAAACAUACCUCCUCUACCGAAGACAUACAUCAAGAGUCCUGCAAAGCUAAAGAGAAAAUGUGGAGAUGAGGAUCCUUCAGAGCCGAGC